UUCUAAAAAAAGCUUUUUUAACUUUGCCUUUAUUUUCUAUUUUAAUACUAAAAUGCCUUUUUCUAUUUUACCCAUUUCUUUGCAUAUGUUUUUCUUUUACUUAUCUAUUAUUUUAUUUUAUUGUAUGACAAUGUUUAUAUGUGAAGCACUUUGAGUCUGCCUUGUGUAUGAAAAGUGCUAUAUAAAUAAAGUUGCCUUGCCUUGCCUUGCCUAUAUAAAAUAAAACAUGUUUACUGUAAAAGGUAGGGAGGGCUUAGCCCUGUUAGCCCAUUAAUACCAGCCGUCCCUGGUUAAUAUGGUGUAUGUGUUGUGCUAAAAGCCUAUACGGGUUAGCCUAUUGUGUGUAGACUAUAUUAGCUUAAAGUGAAAUCUUAUGUCUUGGUACUGUAAGUCAUUCUGAAAUGAUUACUGUUUUAGUUGAGUAUAUUUAUUGCUCAUUGUUAAAAAAAAAAAAAUGUACAUUUAUUACAUAAGGGAAUUAAUUAUUAUUAUUACAUCUAUCACAAUAGUACAUGCAUAGAAUAAAUACCACUGAAAUGGUUAUGUUUAACUUGCGUAGUCUAUUUUGCAGAAUGCUAACCUCAUUCAUUUAUUUGAAUGCAGGCUGAAAAUGCUGGCAAAAGUGGAAUAUGGGUGAGUCCAAAAAUACAUUAAAGUUCCUCAAACUGAUGACAAUUUCCAUUUCCUCCAGUUUCUUCAAGAAGCAACAGACAAAUUUAGUCUGCAGGCUCAACAUCUAUCCGAGGGUGUGUUAGCCUUGACUGAUGCAUCAGAUACCGAGGUUGAUGCAGACACAUUUGAUGAGCUGAUAAAGUCAGGGGUCCGAAACUUCAAGGUUGGAUACCGCAAGUACCCAGUAACGGGUAAGGAUAAACCUUUUGAGUCCAAGCACCCGUAUAUGGAGGCAGGGUGUUCAUGUUCAUGCUUUUCCACUAAUCGUGUGUAUGUAUUUUUGAAUUGGUGGAAUACAACUCGCAGUCCUCCGUAUUGUCAGACUCCACAGCAUCACCAGUUUCAUUGCCAGGACCCCGCGCAUCACCAGCUUCUACAAGUUCAGGUUCGACAAUCAUCCUCCCAUCCACUAAAAACCGGAAGAGAGGCCUGGUAGAGCUGGAACGUAAUGAAGCAAGACAGGUAAACCUUGAAACUGUCUGUAAAAUGUACUGGAUUUUAAGAUUAUUAGAUUAAUUUAUAACAG
rnacentral:lncRNA from 1 species